rnacentral:rRNA from 1 species
UACGGGGGGUGCGAGCGUUGUCCGGAAUCACUGGGCGUAAAGGGCGCGUAGGUGGCCUGAUAAGGGUGUGGUGAAAGUCCGGGGCUCAACCCCGGAUCUGCCGUGCCGACUGUUGGGCUGGAGUACUGUAGGGGCAGGCGGAAUUCCGGGUGUAGCGGUGGAAUGCGUAGAGAUCCGGAGGAACACCGACGGCGAAGGCAGCGCCCUGGACGAGAUCUGACGCUCAGGCACGAAAGCUGGGGGAGCAAACAGG